rnacentral:lncRNA from 1 species
CAGGAAUCCUAACCCCCUGGCAAACAGGAGCAGCUUAUUCCAAGUUCUUGGAAAAUAACGAAGAAAUCUGCUUCUUAUCCUAGAUUUUAUUCAAGAAAUUCCUUAAUGGGGUGUGGGAAUUUGGUCAGCUCCUUCAAAUGGUUCAAAGUGAGCACUUCCCUUGAUGAGAGCUGGUUAAUGCCCAGCCUAGGUUGUUGUGUGUUCACCAGGUGAUUUUCUGAAGCUUUAUAGGAGGUGUUUGCACUGCUGGUACAACAAAAUACAGUUUGAUGGGAGCAAUCCAUAGAUGGAGCCAUUGAUAGAGCUGUUUAGAUCCAUGCAGAGCAAUGGGAACAGGACAAGCUCCUCCACUUGUCCACAGGGACACCAGAAGAGCUGUGAUGGUUCCAUAUCUCACCACUGCUCUGGCAGUGGUUUCUGCAGAGAUCCAAGUGAGUCACUUGGGACAGGUGAGCACUUUUCACACCCUUUGACAGUAAUGCAGAGCUCAAUUGCUCCUUUGAGGUGAAGGUUUAUCGCAGAGAGGUCAGAUGUGUCACAGCUUCCUGCACUAAGCCAAGGUGAUCUGCAGCACCAAUGUAAAUGCAGACCAUUUCCUGCACUUUCUGGCUAGAAUUUAGUUAGGACUGUCAGCAUCCUCUUCAUCUCCACUGUCCCUGGGGUAAGUGCACAAGAAAUAGUACAGUGGGAGAUGAAUACAGAAACAGGUCCUGUGCUGUUGUCAAGUUAGACAUGAGUAGAUCCCGUUAACUCCAUGGAGCUGCAGUGGUUUUCCUUCACCUGUAAGAAAUGUGAAAUGCCAAAAAACUUGUUUUUCAACAGUAGUAAAAAUACUUCUAGGAGAUUUUUUGAGAGCUAUUUUAAGAGCUUCAUUUGAGAAUGAAGAAUGCUUAGUGGCAAAAGUUAAAGGUGGUGCUAAAGGGGAGCUUGCAAUUACUUGAGGACUGUCAGGUGAGGUGGUAAGAUCUGGCUGGACUUGGCAGAAACACAGGUGGGACUAUGUACAAAUUUGGAGGAUAAUACAGAAUUGGAAGUGGAAGGGCAAGUAGAGAAUAAACAAGAGGUCAUCUACUUUCA